GUAUCUUAAACAGUCUAGAAAUGCUGAUUGUUGCAGAAAGUGUGAUAGAGGGAACUUGGCCCUAAGAUUUUGCUGAUGUGGCAAAAUGGUGUACUCUACUGUGCUGGAAACAUCUGGAAAGCAUUACUAAAUUCCUGGAAAAGAGGAUAUGUAAUGGCCAGGGAUUGGAUGUUAGAAUCACGCCAUGCUCUGGCCAUGUAGGAUAUAAAAGCAUGUCUUGAACAAUAGAAUGGAUAUAGCUAAUCAGAUUGGCUCGGGCUAUCUCCAGACAUCUGCAGGUGUUGGUCAAAAUUCGAUGCUGUAAACUCUUUGUUAUAAUAAACCUUUGAAAACAGAGUACAGUGUCGGCGGAUUCCUUUAUCAUCACAAGCAUGGACCAGCAAAAGUGUUUCUUUUAGGCACUACAUUUAAUGGCGACGAGGUUUUUGUUUUAUUGUUCUUUGGGACGUGCUAUGUCUCUUCUUUGCAUUCCAUUCCUGGGCUACAAAACGACUACCGCUCAAAGAAGCCGGAAAAAAUAAGAGACGAGAAGGAGGAGACAGAGAGAGAGAGAGAAAGAGGAGGGGCUGACAUCAACUGACACCAGUGACGGCAACCCAGUCCAAAUCAAGGC